rnacentral:rRNA from 1 species
UAGGGAAUCUUCCGCAAUGGGCGAAAGCCUGACGGAGCAACGCCGCGUGAGUGAUGAAGGUCUUCGGAUCGUAAAACUCUGUUAUUAGGGAAGAAAAAAUGUGUAAGUAACUAUGCACGUCUUGACGGUACCUAAUCAGAAAGCCACGGCUAACUACGUGCCAGCAGCCGCGGUAAUACGUAGGUGGCAAGCGUUAUCCGGAAUGAGUGGGCGUAAAGCGCGCGUAGGCGGCUUUUUAAGUCUGAUGUGAAAGCCCACGGCUCAACCGUGAAUGGUCAUUGGACACUUGAUAACUUGAGUGUAGAAGAGGAAAGUGGAAUUCCAUGUGUAGCGGUGAAAUGCGCAGAGUUAUGGAGGAACACCAGUCGCGAAGGCGACUUUCUGGUCUGUAACUGACGCUGAUGUGCGAAAGCGUGGGGAUCAAACAGG